rnacentral:rRNA from 1 species
GACGAACGCUGGCGGCGCGCCUAACACAUGCAAGUCGAGCGAAGCGGCGAACGGGUGAGUAACGCGUGAGGAACCUGCCUCUCACAACGGGAUAGCCUCGGGAAACCGGGAUUAAUACCGUAUGGUGAGAGAUGGACUCGCGUCUGAUUAGCUAGUUGGAGGGGUAAAGGCCUACCAAGGCGACGAUCCGUAACUGGUCUGGGAUGAGGAGCAGCCAAACGGGAGCUGAGACACGGUCCAGACUCAUACGGGAGGCAGCAGUGGGGAAUAUUGGUCAAUUGGCGAAAGCCUGAUCCAGCCAUGCCGCGUGUGUGAAGAAGGUCUUCGGAUUGUAAAGCUCUGUUGUUAAGGAAGCGGUACUUAACCAGAAAGGGACGGCUAACUACGUGCCAGCAGCCGCGGUAAUUC